rnacentral:misc_RNA from 1 species
AGGUAUAGGAGGAAGAGAGAGAAAUUAGUAGAUCGUUCUUCUGCUGCUCGGAUACCAACAAUGUGGGGUCCAUUUACAGCUUACUGUUAUAGGUCAAUAUUAGAUGGCAUUGAACAUAUUGCAAUGGUUAAGGGUGAGAUUGGGGAUGGACAGGAUAUUCUUGUGAGGGUGCAUUCAGAAUGCCUCACAGGAGAUAUAUUUGGUUCUGCCAGAUGUGACUGUGGGAACCAAUUGGCACUCGCAAUGCAGCAGAUUGAGGCUGCUGGCAGGGGUGUGCUGAUAUACCUCCGGGGUCAUGAAGGAAGAGGAAUUGGUUUGGGCCACAAGCUCCGUGCUUACAACCUACAGGAUGCUGGGCGUGACACAGUUGAAGCAAAUGAAGAACUAGGACUGCCUGUUGAUUCACGAGAAUAUGGUAUUGGUGCCCAGAUAUUACAGGAUCUGGGUGUCCGAACAAUGAAGUUGAUGACAAACAACCCUGCAAAGUACAUUGGGCUCAAGGGCUAUGGUUUGACAGUUGCAGGUAGGAUUCCUUUGUUAACUACCAUCACAAAGGAAAACAAGAGGUAUCU